rnacentral:tRNA from 1 species
GGGGGUAUAACUCAGUGGUAGAAUGCAUGCCUAACAUGCAUGAGGUCCAGGGUUCAAUCCCCAGUACCUCUA